rnacentral:rRNA from 1 species
AGCGAACGCUGGCGGCAGGCCUAACACAUGCAAGUCGAACGGAUCCUUCGGGAUUAGUGGCGGACGGGUGAGUAACACGUGGGAACGCGCCCUUUGGUUCGGAGCAACUCAGGGAAACUUGAGCUAAUACCGGAUGUGCCCUUCGGGGGAAAGAUUUAUCGCCAUUGGAGCGGCCCGCGUCUGAUUAGCUAGUUGGUGGGGUAAAGGCCCACCAAGGCGACGAUCAGUAGCUGGUCUGAGAGGAUGAUCAGCCACAUUGGGACUGAGACACGGCCCAAACUCCUACGGGAGACAGCAGUGGGGAAUCUUGCGCAAUGGGCGAAAGCCUGACGCAGCCAUGCCGCGUGAAUGAUGAAGGUCUUAGGAUUGUAAAAUUCUUUCACCGGGGACGAUAAUGACGGUACCCGGAGAAGAAGCCCCGGCUAACUUCGUGCCAGCAGCCGCAGUAA